UUUAUUAGAAAGACAAUUGUCACAUAUUGUAUUCCAAGAAAGAUGAAUAUUUGUGAUGGCUAGCUACUCUAUUUAUAGUACACAUUCGACUUAAAAUCUAAGCAAGUAUAUUCCAAGAAUAUUCCACGAUAGAUUGUGCACCAAAAUAGAAUAGCUCAGAAUCCAAGCAAAAGCAGCAAAAGGUGUUCUGGAGGGUGGCACGGCCGUGCCAAUCCUAGCACGGGCCGUGCCAAGCUUCUGACUUUGGGGGAGAUAUAUUUUGUCUCCAAAUCUUCGUAUUUUCAUACCGAAUCAACUCCAAAUCCCUUUCUUUUGCUCAAAGACUCAAUCAAUCAAAUAUUCGUUCCUAAAAUAUAACAAUAUGCAAUUGUAGUAAAAUAGUUCAAGAAAUGAAAUAAUAUUAAUAUAAAAUAAACCUAAAUCUAAAUAAAACUAAACUAAAUAACAUAUUAAAAUAGAUAAUAAAUGACUCAUCAGUGAGAAGAUCUCAUUGUAGUCGAUUCCCUUCACUUGAGUGAAACCCUUGGCCACAAGUCUUGCUUUGUACCUAGGACCUUCAACACCCGAAAUACCUUCCUUUUUCUUGAAGAUCCACUUGCAUCAAACUACCCUUUGGUGUUUAGGUAGCUUCACAAGUUUCCAAGUUUAGUUCUUUUCCAAUGAAUCCAUCUCUUCAUUCACCACGUUUAAACAAUACUUGCUCUCUUUGCUCUCAAAUGCCUCUUUGAAGUUUCUAGGCUCCGAGUCUUGCACAUCUUCAGCCGCAUUUAGAGCAAAACACACCAAGUCCGCAUAACCAUAUCUACUAGGAGCCGUAAUGGUCCUCCUUUCUCUAUCUCUAGCCAAAAGAUAAU
rnacentral:lncRNA from 1 species